UGAGGGGUAAUCCGGAAGCAGAGGAGAUGAAGAUGAAUACGGUUGCUGGGAUUUCGGUUGAAGGUUCCGGUUGGAUGCGGGAUCACGAGAUGACGCUGUGUUUGUUUGGGAUUAAGUUGCAGCUGGAAGAUUCGGCGAAGAAGAUGAAGCUGAAUCUACAAUCGGCUGGGAGCAUGAACAGAGGAGUUUGUUCGGAUACGGGAGAAGAGAAUGAGGCUUGGUUUUAGAUGAAUGUCUUCAAUGCAUGGGAGCUGGGAAGGGAGUGAUCCGUGGGUGAAGAGGAGUUGAGAUCGGGAGGUUGGUCACGGUUGAAGUUGUUUCGGGAAGAAGAUUGGAGUUGUGAACGGCUUGAAGGGGAGAUAAGCCGUUGGGAAGAAUACGCGAAGAGAAGGAAUUGGGGUUUGAUACGUGAGGAGUGAAGGAGAGCUUUAGGAUUCGUGCAAAUAUGAUGGCAUGCUUUGAGAUCUGAGGAACAAAUAAUUGAAGGGAUUUUAUUGUUUUUGAGAUUAAAAUUGGAUCAUGUGGAAAAAGAGUUAAGUGACUGAAUCAGAGGGUUUUGAUUUGCGGGGUGCAUGUGGUUUAGGUCCAGGAAUAAUCCCUAAUGAACUUGACUCAACCUGCAUACAUUAGACUCAAUCAGUAAAUAAGUAAAACUUGAAUUACCUUUAAUAAUUUAUUAAAAUGCAAUCACGAAGGUAAUACAAUUUUCAGUUAAAUUUACAAAAUAUGUGAAUUAAAAUAAUGGUAAGUGCUAUAAAUAAGAUAUUAAUUUAUG
rnacentral:lncRNA from 1 species